rnacentral:rRNA from 1 species
GCAUGCAGUCGUGCGAGAGCCCCUUUCGGGGGGUGGACAGCGGCGAAAGGGAGAGUAACGCGUGGAUUACCUACCCCCGGGACCGGGAUAGCUGCGGGAAACUGCGGGUAAUACCGGAUAACGUCCCCGGACCAAAGGUGUGAUUCCGCCUGGGGAUGGGUCCGCGUCCUAUUAGCUAGUUGGUGGGGUAACGGCCUACCAAGGCAACGAUGGGUACCGGGCGUGAGAGCGUGACCCGGCUCACUGGGACUGAGACACUGCCCAGACACCUACGGGUGGCUGCAGUCGAGAAUCUUCGGCAAUGGGCGCAAGCCUGACCGAGCGACGCCGCGUGCGGGAUGAAGGCCUUCGGGUUGUAAACCGCUGUCAGAGGGGAGGAAAUGCCAUGGGGUUCUCUCCAUGGUUUGACCUAGCCUCAGAGGAAGUGCGGGCUAAGUUCGUGCCAGCAGCCGCGGUAAGACGAACCGCACGAACGUUAUUCGGAAUCACUGGGCUUAAAGGGUGCGUAGGCGGCCCGGAAAGUUGGGUGUGAAAUCCCUCGGCUUAACCGAGGAAUUGCGCCCAAAACUCUCGGGCUCGAGGAAGACAGAGGUGAGCGGAACUUGCGGUGGAGCGGUGAAAUGCGUUGAUAUCGCAAGGAACACCAGUGGCGAAAGCGGCUCACUGGGUCUUUUCUGACGCUGAGGCACGAAAGCUAGGGGAGCGAACGGGAUUAGAUACCCCGGUAGUCCUAGCUGUAAACGAUGAGCACUUGGUCGGAGGAUCUCCCAUAAUUUUCCGGCCGUAGCGAAAGUGUUAA